AAGGUACUUCAGGAAUAAGCAGCGGCUAACUACGUGCCAGCAGCCGCGGUAAUACGUAGGCUGCAAGCGUUAUCCGGAAUUAUUGGGCGUAAAGCGUACGCAGGCGGUUUGUUAAGUUGGAUGUUAAAGCCCUGAGCUCAACUCAGGACAGGUGUCCAAUACUGGCAAGCUGGAGAUAGGCAGAGGUAAGUGGAAUUCUGUAUGUAGGGGUAAUAUCCGUAGAUAUACAGAGGAACACCAAAAGCGAAGGCAGCUUACUGGGCCUUUUCUGACGCUCAUGUACGAAAGCGUGGGGAGCAAACGGGAUUAGAUACCCCGGUAGUCCACGCCCUAAACGAUGAACACUAGGUGUUGGAGGUCUCGACCCCUUCAGCGCCGAAGCUAACGCAUUAAGUGUUCCGCCUGGGUAGUACGAUCGCAAGAUUAAAACUCAAAGGAAUAGACGGGGACCCACACAAGCGGUGGAGCAUCUGGUUUAAUUCGACAAUAAGCGGAGAACCUCACCAAGACUUGACAUCCCGAGAAGUCUGCCGAAAGGUGGAUGUGCCGUAAGG
rnacentral:rRNA from 1 species